GGAGCAUAGGCUGCAGCAAAGAGGACUGUGCCAAAUACGUCAAUAUACUUUUGUGGCAUUUUGUUGAUUGGAGAAAAACAUUUUAAUAGGGUUGGGAGAGUAAACCUUCGUGAAAGAGGAGGUCUUUAUAUGCAAGGUUAUAUGACAACAGCUUUUUUCUUCAAUCCUGUAUGUGAGGAAGAUGGGGAGAGACAAGGAGACAGGAGAUGUCUAACCAAAAUCCAUCCAGAUUUCAUGAUAUAUUGACCUGUUUUCUCAGUGGUGGUAAUUCACCUCUAAUGUUGUUGGAACCUUCUCUACAUCUGAUACAUAACACAAUCUUGAGAAAGAAAAGGAUGAGCGAUACAUAGCUGAUGUGAACUGCAGAAAAGUUAUUUUUAUAGACUGGAAUACCCUUUGGUAGAAGCUGGAGGUAGUGAUAGAAUCAUUGAACUGAACAGACCUUGAAGACCCGUAGACUAAAUGACUUUCAAACAACUCUAGAGAAAUCUUUCACCGAUGAUAGCCAACUGACUUCCCUAAACACCAACUGAAUUGAGGCUUGGACAGAUGACAUUCAUUUUGACUGCCAACAUUCAGUUCAGUUCUUCUUUUGUUUUAUAAAAGAACAGAGACGAAAGAUAGUGAAACAACAUAACUCAAGGAAAAUUCCUAAUAAAUCCUUCAAUAGGAAUGCACAUCCUUAAUUCAUAUUUGAUUCUCUGAUCAAAAGGUUCUAGAAGGCUGUGGGUGAUCUGGGAGUCUACAUGUGCUCAGCAAUUAAAAGAGUGUUCUGUCCUCCCGCCCCAGUUUGCAGAAUUUUAUUGCGGAAUAUCUUUUGUUUAUACUGCUUGAGAUUCAUCAGAUCUGAGAAGGUGGCCUCUAUAGAUGAGCUAUUAAAAGUUUCCUUUUAUGAAAGUUAGCUUCCAAAUGACGAGUUUAAUUGGAUUUCUAUUGUUCUCCUUGUUACAAUUAAUGCUGGAACUUUAACCUGUUUGUGCCCCUUUCCUUGACUGAUGUAUACUUGGGAGGUUUAAUGCUGCUCUCUGGUUUAGAAAAGCCAUUGUUCCUGAAAAGGAAAUUAUGCAUUCUAAGAGAAAUAAAACAACCCAUGUUCUUAGUAUUGCUAUCAAAUAUAUUAUAGUUUAAUAUUAAAAACAGAAUUCCAAUUGAAAUGUUCAGGCCAAUUGUAGAAAUGUUUAGAGCUGGGACAUUCCUUUGUGAUGUCCUCUUAAUUUUUAAGAAACUGUUAAAAUAACUACCAAACAAGAUUAAUAUUGAUUUCUGGCAUUUGGUAGAAAUAAACUCUUUUAUGGGCUAUUUUAAAUGUCAAGAUCAAUGAUUCAGCUUGUAUGACUCUGAGUAUGACUUUCCAUACAAUAGUCAAGUAGCUGUGAAUUUGUUUCAUGACUUCAUUAUGUGACCUUGAUUGCAAGACAAUCCUAUAACAAACAUGUAAUAGUGAAUUUCUUCAAAAAGCUGUUGUAAAGGUAGUGCAUAGCAACAUAAGUAGAAGCUGCAAAUUUAAAUUCAUACUUGAAAUAUCCCGUUUUCUUCUAAAUAUAAUAUGCCAUUUUUUGCUAUCAUAGUCAA